rnacentral:rRNA from 1 species
ACUUUACAAUGCAGGAAACUGUGAUAAGGGAACCCCGAGUGCCCGUAUACGCGGGCUGUCCGGGUGUAUAAAAAGCAUCUGAAGAAAGGGCCGGGCAAGACCGGUGCCAGCCGCCGCGGUAAUACCGGCGGCUCGAGUGGUGACCACUUUUAUUGGGCUUAAAGCGUUCGUAGCUGGACUCUUAAGUCUCUUGGGAAAUCCCGCGGCUCAACCGUGGGGCGUUUAAGAGAUACUGGGAGUCUAGGAACCGGGAGAGGUAAGAGGUACUUCGGGGGUAGAAGUGAAAUUCUGUAAUCCUCGAGGGACCACCGAUGGCGAAGGCAUCUUACCAGAACGGCUUCGACAGUGAGGGACGAAAGCUGGGGGAGCGAACGGGAUUAGAUACCCCGGUAGUCCCAGCCGUAAACGAUGCGCGUUAGGUGUACUGGUGACCACGAGUCACUGGGGUGCCGAAGGGAAACCGUGAAACGUGCCGCCUGGGAAGUACGGUCGCAAGGCUGAAACUUAA